rnacentral:rRNA from 1 species
AUUGAACGCUGGCGGCAGGCCUAACACAUGCAAGUCGAGCGGAUGAAGGGAGCUUGCUCCAGGAUUCAGCGGCGGACGGGUGAGUAAUGCCUAGGAAUCUGCCUGGUAGUGGGGGAUAACGUCCGGAAACGGGCGCUAAUACCGCAUACGUCCUGAGGGAGAAAGUGGGGGAUCUUCGGACCUCACGCUAUCAGAUGAGCCUAGGUCGGAUUAGCUAGUUGGUGGGGUAAAGGCCUACCAAGGCGACGAUCCGUAACUGGUCUGAGAGGAUGAUCAGUCACACUGGAACUGAGACACGGUCCAGACUCCUACGGGAGGCAGCAGUGGGGAAUAUUGGACAAUGGGCGAAAGCCUGAUCCAGCCAUGCCGCGUGUGUGAAGAAGGUCUUCGGAUUUGUAAAGCACUUUAAGUUGGGAGGAAGGGCAGUAAGUUAAUACCUUGCUGUUUUGACGUUACCAACAGAAUAAGCACCGGCUAACUUCGUG